CCUACGGGAGGCAGCAGUGGGGAAUAUUGGACAAUGGGCGAAAGCCUGAUCCAGCAAUGCCGCGUGAGUGAUGAAGGCCUUCGGGUCGUAAAGCUCUUUUACCAGGGAUGAUAAUGACAGUACCUGGAGAAUAAGCUCCGGCUAACUCCGUGCCAGCAGCCGCGGUAAUACGGAGGGAGCUAGCGUUGUUCGGAAUUACUGGGCGUAAAGAGUACGUAGGCGGUUAUUCAAGUCAGAGGUGAAAGCCCGGGGCUCAACCCCGGAACUGCCUUUGAAACUAGAUAACUAGAGUCUUGGAGAGGUUAGUGGAAUUCCGAGUGUAGAGGUGAAAUUCGUAGAUAUUCGGAAGAACACCAGUGGCGAAGGCGACUAACUGGACAAGUACUGACGCUGAGGUACGAAAGCGUGGGGAGCAAACAGGAUUAGAUACCCUGGUAGUCCACGCCGUAAACGAUGAUAACUAGUUGUUCGGUCACUUGGUGACUGAGUGACGCAGCUAACGCAUUAAGUUAUCCGCCUGGGGAAUCGGUCGCAAGNUUAAAACUCAAAUGAAUUGACCGGNUGNGAGNGCGAGACGACGACGAGGAGAG
rnacentral:rRNA from 1 species